rnacentral:rRNA from 1 species
GACGAACGCUGGCGGCGUGCUUAACACAUGCAAGUCGAACGGAAAGGCCCCUUUGGGGGUACUCGAGUGGCGAACGGGUGAGUAACACGUGAGUAACCUGCCCUUGACUUCGGGAUAACUUCAGGAAACUGGGGCUAAUAUCGGAUAGGAAUCCUUGCUGCAUGGUGGGGGUUGGAAAGCUUCGGCGGUUUUGGAUGGACUCGCGGCUUAUCAGCUUGUUGGUGGGGUAGUGGCUUACCAAGGCUUUGACGGGUAGCCGGCCUGAGAGGGCGACCGGCCACAUUGGGACUGAGAUACGGCCCAGACUCCUACGGGAGGCAGCGGUGGGGAAUAUUGCACAAUGGGCGGAAGCCUGAUGCAGCAACGCCGCGUGCGGGAUGACGGCCUUCGGGUUGUAAACCGCUUUCAGCAGGGGCGAAGCUUGUGGUGACGGUACCUGCAGAAGAAGCACCGGCUAACUACGUG